UACGGGGGGGGCAAGCGUUGUUCGGAAUUACUGGGCGUAAAGGGCGCGUAGGCGGUUCGCUAAGUUGGAUGUGAAAACUCUGGGCUCAACCCAGAGCCUGCAUCCAAAACUGGCGGGCUAGAGUUCUGGAGGGGGUAGCGGAAUUCCUGGUGUAGCGGUGAAAUGCGUAGAUAUCAGGAGGAACACCGGUGGCGAAGGCGGCUACCUGGACAGAAACUGACGCUGGAGGCGCGAAAGCUAGGGGAGCAAACAGG
rnacentral:rRNA from 1 species